GCCCAUGACACGGCCCUUGGGGUGGAUUAUUAUUCUUGCUCAAGGCGGAAGAGCAAGCGAAGAGCCGGAGGAGCUUGGGUUCCCAUGAUGUCCUGGGUCGCCUACUGCCUACAGACUUUUUGUUCCUGAGGAAGAAAUCACUUCAUCUGGUUUAGAGGAAGAUGAGCCCUUUGAGCUAGCUAAUCUUCACACAUCACGUUGGCAUCCAUCCAGACGAAAGCUUACUGCAGCCAAAGCAUUCGCCUAAAAUGGAAAAUGCCAAACCACGUGAGAUGCCAACUUCAGGAGCCACGGCGUCAGGCGUCACCCUAAGGCCUCCUUCCACUCGUCUCUGGACUUCAGUCACAAUGUCUUCCUUGAUCCAGAUGAAUGGUCUUCCUGCUCUUGGCUUAUAUUUGAAGCUACCCUUCAGAUGGCAGAUCCAUCGACACAUUAUUGUCUUGUGUGGGGCAGCAUUCUUCCAGUAAACGUGUUGCAGAGCUUCGA